rnacentral:piRNA from 1 species
GCUGAACCUGGAGACACCUGC